AAAAAGAUUUUCAUUAGCAAAUUAUGAAAAAUAAAGGUAAUAACAAAAUCCCUUUUGAACCCAUAGUGAGUUCUUCUGGCAUGAAUUUAUAGCCCUCUUCUACCCUUCCAGCCAAAGGUCAUUCCAAAUGCUCUAUGUGGAAUUUGUCUGAAGGGUAAGGAGUCCAACAAGAAAGGAAAGGCUGAAUCACUUAUACACUGCUCCCAGUGUGAUAACAGUGGCCACCCUUCUUGCUUGGAUAUGACCAUGGAGCUUGUUUCUAUGAUUAAGACCUACCCAUGGCAGUGUAUGGAAUGUAAGACAUGCAUUAUAUGUGGACAGCCCCACCAUGAAGAAGAAAUGAUGUUCUGUGAUGUGUGUGACAGAGGUUAUCAUACUUUUUGUGUGGGCCUUGGUGCUAUUCCAUCAGGUAAAGAUGAAAAAAACAAAACAAAACCCACAUUAUCUUGUAUGAAGAUCUCCCAGCAGUUUUUUAAGGCUGCAUAAAUGGCAGGAACAUGUUCCAAUUAUGCUCAAGCUGUUAUUGUCCAUGUCACAGAUACUUGAUUUUCAUCCUUGGGACCAAAGGACAAAUGAGAUGGCAAAAUGCCUAGUUUAGGUUUUGGGGGAAGUAUCAUUUGAGGUAUAGUAUGAACUGGUGUUUUCUACUAAAAUUACUAAAGUAACAGCACCAGUCUGUCUCAAUGGUUUGAUUUUAUUUUUAAAGAUUAUUUAUUAACAAAGUGACUGCUAUGUCUUUACAUAUGCUAAGACAUUUUUAUAAAGUGAGGCAGCAUGACAGUUCCAGAUAACUUUAGGAUGGCCACAGAUUCAAAUAGUAAAUCACAGUAAUUCUAUUAAAACAUUAUACAGGUCAAUAUGAAGAAUUUAGUUGCAUAGCUAACACUGUAUAGUGCUCUUUAAAAAAUGGUUCCUGGAAUUCCUUUAGAAAUACGCAACUUGAAUAGUUACUUAGGUUUCUGUAGUAAUUCAGAUCAAGUAUGUGGUCUAGGUGCUAGUUUUAAAGUGCAUGGAGACAUGGAGGGGGGGGGCAGGCGCAGAGAGAGAGACAGACAGAGACAGAGCAAGCACAAGUGCUGUUAGAAUAGUGAAGAAAGAGGCCAUAGAAAGCCAGCUUCUUUAACAGUCUCUACAUUAGGAAUUGUGUUGAGGUUUCAAAAGUAUGAUGGUACUUGAAUUUUAGGAAGGAUAACAGUCUUUUUUCUUUUUUCUUUUUGGCCAUGCACUAAAGUUCACACUGAUUAAGGGUUGUUUACAUUUUCUUCUUUGACUUAAGGAACCAGUCACUACUCCCUCCCACU
rnacentral:lncRNA from 1 species